rnacentral:rRNA from 1 species
GACGAACGCUGGCGGCGUGCUUAACACAUGCAAGUCGAACGCUGAAGCUUGGUGCUUGCACUGGGUGGAUGAGUGGCGAACGGGUGAGUAAUACGUGAGUAACCUGCCCUUGACUCUGGGAUAAGCCUGGGAAACUGGGUCUAAUACUGGAUACGACAUGCCACUGCAUGGUGGUGUGUGGAAAGGGUUUUACUGGUUUUGGAUGGGCUCACGGCCUAUCAGCUUGUUGGUGGGGUAAUGGCCUACCAAGGCGACGACGGGUAGCCGGCCUGAGAGGGUGACCGGCCACACUGGGACUGAGACACGGCCCAGACUCCUACGGGAGGCAGCAGUGGGGAAUAUUGCACAAUGGGCGGAAGCCUGAUGCAGCGACGCCGCGUGAGGGAUGACGGCCUUUGGGUUGUAAACCUCUUUCAGCACGGAAGAAGCGAGAGUGACGGUACGUGCAGAAGAAGCGCCGGCUAACUACGUG